rnacentral:tRNA from 1 species
CCCAGUGUGGUGUAAUGGUUUGAGUGUUGGACUGCUACUCUGGAGACCAGGGUUCGAUUCCCUGCUCAGCCA